GGCCCUAUCGUCUAUCGGUUAGGACAUAGACUUUUCAAGUCUAGAAGCGGGGUUCGACUCCCCGUAGGGCUG
rnacentral:tRNA from 1 species